rnacentral:rRNA from 1 species
CCUACGGGUGGCUGCAGUGGGGAAUAUUGCACAAUGGGCGCAAGCCUGAUGCAGCCAUGCCGCGUGUGUGAAGAAGGCCUUCGGGUUGUAAAGCACUUUCAGCGGGGAGGAAGGCGUUAAGGUUAAUAACCUUGGCGAUUGACGUUACCCGCAGAAGAAGCACCGGCUAACUCCGUGCCAGCAGCCGCGGUAAUACGGAGGGUGCAAGCGUUAAUCGGAAUUACUGGGCGUAAAGCGCACGCAGGUGGUCUGUCAAGUCGGAUGUGAAAUCCCCGGGCUCAACCUGGGAACUGCAUUCGAAACUGGCAGGCUAGAGUCUUGUAGAGGGGGGUAGAAUUCCAGGUGUAGCGGUGAAAUGCGUAGAGAUCUGGAGGAAUACCGGUGGCGAAGGCGGCCCCCUGGACAAAGACUGACGCUCAGGUGCGAAAGCGUGGGGAGCAAACAGGAUUAGAUACCCGGGUAGUC